rnacentral:rRNA from 1 species
GGGGGAAUAUUGCACAAUGGGCGCAAGCCUGAUGCAGCCAUGCCGCGGGUGUGAAGAAGGCCGGCGGGUUGUAAAGCACUUUCAGCGGGGAGGAAGGCGAUAAGGUUAAUAACCUUGUCGAUUGACGUUAUCCGCAGAAGAAGCACCGGCAAACUCUGUGCCAGCAGCCGCGGUAAUACGGAGGGUGCAAGCGUUAAUCGGAAUUACUGGGCGUAAAGCGCACGCAGGCGGUCUGUCAAGUCGGAUGUGAAAUCCCCGGGCUCAACCUGGGAACUGCAUUCGAAACUGGCAGGCUAGAGUCUUGUAGAGGGGGGUAGAAUUCCAGGUGUAGCGGUGAAAUGCGUAGAGAUCUGGAGGAAUACCGGUGGCGAAGGCGGCCCCCUGGACAAAGACUGACGCUCAGGUGCGAAAGCGUGGGGAGCAAACAGG